rnacentral:misc_RNA from 1 species
AGGGACAGUUGUCAAAAUUUAUCCUAUGUAUAAUGAAAGAAUUACUAAUGGCAAUUGCCAGAGUGCAAUUAUUGGUAUUUGGAUUGUGCGAGACACAUGCUAGGCCACUGUGCAUGCAGUGCACAUAUGGUCCAGGUGUCUCAAAUGCCCAUGAGAAUUAUUUUCAAUGAUGAUAGGGAAAGGGUAAACAUUACUGUUGUAAUUUUACUCCUGUUAUGAUUACAUCAGCAUUCGUUCCUUCUUGGUCAACUAUUUAAAUAUUCAUACUAUAUCUAUUCUUGAUUGGAAAUUAGUGAAUGAUUUUGCCAUGAUUUGUUGCUCUUUUAAAUGCAGGCACAACCUGUCUGUUCAAACUACAGUAUGUAUGGACUCUGCAAAUUUGGUCCAACUUGCAGAUUUGAUCAUCCUUC